ensembl:lncRNA
UUGAUAGACACAUACUGUCAAGUGAAGUAGUUUUAUGGGUGUUGGGUUUUUCCUCCUCCAGUAGGGUGGGUGGAACAAGUUAAUUUGGCUAAUGCGUAAUAUUUAAACUGCUCUGUAAAGUAAGUGGCCGCUCAGUAUGAUUUGUAUGUGUGAAAGGUCCCAAAUCAAAAUUGUACAUCCAUAAUCAACCCUUCAACCCUUGUUCUAAAGAAACCAAAGGGCACUGGUUAGUAUGGUAAGUGGUGGGGGGGUAUGUUAAUUUUUGGAAUUUGGAAAGCAGACAGCUUUACUUUAUAAGGUUGGAACAGCAGCACCAUCCAUGAAAUACAUACCAAAAAUUUUACUGUUUCUGAAUUUCCUAUAUUGCUAUUCAUUUUGGUCUUAAGUUGAUAGAUUCCACAGAAAGUGAUAAGUAUCUUUUACCUCUUCCUCCGUUAGAAAAUUAGGUUAAUAAUGGAUUUCUUGAUCGAGAGCAUCACCACUGACUAAAACAUACAUGGAGAGAAUAAUCAAACAGGCUUUCUAGGACCUUUUUUUUUUUUAAGUCUUCUGCAACAUUUAUUGAUAAACAGGAAAGGGGUUUUAUUUACAGUUUUGAAUAUCUUUUUGUCACUAUUAGUAAUUUUCUAUCUAUGGUAAUGUCCAGUUUUUAAAAUACUUUAUGAUUUAAGACUUUAAAUCAUAAAAUGUCUGUUUAGCUGAUUAGUUCUCCCCUAUACUUCUAAAUGAGAAAUUGUACAGUACAAGUGUUGUUCAUUGGGAUUAGAUUGAUUAACCUAGUUACCUACUAGUUUGACAUCUUAGGAAGGAGGUAAUUGUUUUUUUUUAAUGAUGGAUAAACUUGUGCUGGUGUUUUGGAUCUUAUGAUGCUGAGCAUGUUCUGCACUGGUGCUAAUGUUUAACAUAAUUUUAUAUUUACAAACAUACCUGCUACCCAGAGGCAAGUAUUAAUUUAGUCCAUAUGGACUUUUACCCCUCUUGAGAUUGCAACAUACACACUCCUAAACACACUCAUACAUAAGUGUGUUUAGACUUAGAAGUAUCUUAACACAUUUCUGGACAUGAAUGUGUUAUAAACCUCCUGAUUUCUAGCAACAUAUAAAAAAACUGCUAUUAAAAACCCAUCACAAGUUCUAUUCAUUGUCAGCCAUUGCUGGCAUUCUGUCACUAGAGAAUACACAGCAAUAUCUGGUAUGUUGCAAGCUUUCAAGAUAGCUUGGAAUUUAAAAGUUGGUCCAUUAGUUGUAUCUGAUGGAUGUAAAUUUGCCUCCUAGUUCACUUUGUGUCAAGAGCUAAAACUGUGAACCUAACUUUCUCUUAUUGGUGGGUAAUAACUGAAAAUAAAGAUUUUAUUUUCAUGCUCACUUCUUAAAAGUCAUAAAAACAAUCAAAUAGGAGCCCAUUUAUCGUCAUGUGUUUUCUGACUAUGUGUGCACCCCCAAGGGUAAUGCUCAUAUUUCUUUUUUCCUCCUUAAACUUAGGUUUUGUUUAUGUGGGGUGUUUAUUAAACUAGGCUGUCAACAUUUGGGAGGGAUACCUAUUUUAAUUAUUAUAAUAAGAAAGUUCUUAUAAAAUGAAUUUCAAGGACUGACAAGACAAUUGGCAUUUCUUUUUAGCAAACCAUGUUUUUGAGUGUGAAGGUUAACCAUACUGAAUGUCGGGGGGUCGUUUGUUUUUUGGUGGCUGAUAGAAUGUUCUAAAUAUUGAUACUUUUAAAUGGAAAUAAUGCCAGAGCUUAUAUUUUUUAUUAACAUGUUUCCAGUUUGCAUUGAUGAUUGGGAUGAGGUCUCUUUUUUUAUAAUUAAAUGUUUUGAGACCUGUGCGGAGUUAUGAAAGAUUUUAACAUGUGUUGCUAGGCACUGUAUGUCUAAGUUUACUCAGUUUUAUUUAAAAAGUGGAGGCAGGACAUAAUAUCUAGUUGUAAAUACAUUUGGGGCUUGUUGGUGUGGGUGUGGAGGGAGAAUAUUAAGUGUUCAUUUUGAUUGUGUUAUUUUUUGAAUUGCUGUAGAUGGUUGUCCUGAAAUAGAAGAAUUUUGUUAUGCUGUUAGGGAAUUGCAUAGAAAGUCUGAAUACGGUAUAUUGGAUUUUUAAAAUAUAUUUUUAAGAGCACUAGCAUAAUAUGGAAAGAAUCAACAAAUAGUAAAGGGCUAAAUAAAAACUUAGAAAUGUGGAGCUACU